CUGGCUGUUCUUCCUUUGGUGGCUCUGGCUGUGGUAGGGCCCUCGGUCGAUCCUCCCUACCUUCAAGUCGGCGUCGGAUGAAUCUAUCGAGCCGACCUCGUCUGAUGAGCUCCUCGAUCCGUUGGUUCAUCUCUUGGAACCUUUGAUCCUGGAGAUCUUCUCGACUGCGAGUCUCGAGGGUCUCCUGGUGGAACGGAGGUAGGGACC
rnacentral:lncRNA from 1 species